CAGGGCUGGAGCAGCAGUCUGCUGCUGGAAACUGGAAAGAUCCCACCCAGCCGAGCAGCUGCUCAGGAACACCUUGGAGCUAUGUUUUACAAGCCAGAUGGAAGAUCAACCAGAAGCCAUGAAGGAGAUUGCUUAGGAAGACAAUCAUUCAAGGAGGUGUGGAAGGAAGAGAAAAAAAGUGUAGAUAAAGAACAAAGGG